CCUUUAUAUUUUGUAGGAUGUUGAUGCUUACAUUCAUCAGAGUGGUAGAACUGGUAGAGCUGGUCGGAAUGGAACUUGUGUGAUGCUGUACAAACCGAACCAGGAAUUCAUGAUUAACCAAGUGGAAAGGAGAGCAAGGAUAUCUGUCCAAAGGGUUGGUGCUCCUCAAUCUUCCGACAUUGUCAAGGCCUCUGAUGAUGACACCAUUAAGACUAGUGUGUGGUGCUGCUGCGGUGGCGGUUGGUCGGUAGUGUAACGAGGUGGUCCGCUCGGGGCUAAACUGGUCAUUAUCUGAGGCUCUUACAUUCCUGACUGAGAGACAACUGCUCACUGAUGAUAAUACGAGGAUGUACUCACUCAUCAAACAACUUCACAUUUUGACUAGGAAGUAGGAGGAGCUCAACAAAACAUGGAUUUUUAAAAUAAAUUUGUAUUUUUAAUUUUAAACUAUAAUUAUGCUAUAUAAAGCAUAAUAUCUAUGAAUUAAGUUAUGAAAAAUAAAAAAUUAAUCCAAACUGUUUAAACUAAUUUAUAUGGCAUCCAGUUUUUCUACAAUCUGAUUCAUUGU